rnacentral:lncRNA from 1 species
AUAAAGGCACAUUUCUAGGAAUGUCAUUGACUGCACAAAUCCAUACCUUCUCCUACCCUUGCUGGCAUAAGCUGGUUUUGAUUUCUGCUGAGAGCAUCUCCUGUCACUGUCUCACCUGGUCUCCGUGAUAAUUAUGAUUGGGAGCUGUAGAGUGUAAUCACACCCAAAUCCUGCCCUGCGGUCUUCAAGUCACAGACCUUUGAAGGACAGUAAAUCAGGACCUGAACUGUGACCUCUUGGUUGUCACUUCUAAGUGAGCAAUACCCAAAGAGAUCAAACCUUGGAAGUUGGUUCUCAAUUACUGGUGUCAGGGUCCCAGGUGAUCAUUUCUGGUGUUCUGACCAAGGCAGAAAGCACAGUUCCCUGGGCAAAAAAGUGGAAGAUCUGGUGUCUCUGAGAGGUGACCAAAAUGGUAAAGAAGCAAACCAGAUAGCAGAUAGCAGGGAGACAGAUGUAUGCUGUAGAGGAGGCUUCUGCCACAAGUAGAAAAGCCCAGCAAGGAAGUCCUUUUUGGUGAACAGAGGUGGAGAGAUCUUUUCUCUUCCUACACCCAGUGAUGGUUUGAGAGAGAUCUAAAGAAGGAAGAUACCCGAGAGAGCGAUGGAUGAACGAACACGGA